UCCGGGGUAGUGUAGUUGGUAGCACACGAGGCUUUGGACCUUGUAGCGUAGGUUCGAGCCCUACCCCCGGAGCCA
rnacentral:tRNA from 1 species